ACAUGCAAGUCGAACGGUAAGGCCCUUCGGGGUACACGAGUGGCGAACGGGUGAGUAACACGUGGGUGAUCUGCCCUGCACUUCGGGAUAAGCCUGGGAAACUGGGUCUAAUACCGGAUAUGACCAUGCGCUUCACGGUGUGUGGUGGAAAGCUUUUGCGGUGUGGGAUGGGCCCGCGGCCUAUCAGCUUGUUGGUGGGGUAAUGGCCUACCAAGGCGACGACGGGUAGCCGGCCUGAGAGGGUGUCCGGCCACACUGGGACUGAGAUACGGCCCAGACUCC
rnacentral:rRNA from 2 species